GGAGAGAUAUCGAAGUGGUCAUAACGAGCCGCACUCGAAAUGCGGUCGUCCUUUACUGGGCGCGUGGGUUCGAAUCCCACUCUCUCCG
rnacentral:tRNA from 1 species